ACGGCUCAGUAACACGUGGAUAACCUGCCCUUGGGACCGGCAUAACCCCGGGAAACUGGGGAUAAUUCCGGAUAACGCAUAUGUGCUGGAAUGCUUUAUGCGUAAAAUGGAUUCGUCUGCCCAAGGAUGGGUCUGCGGCCUAUCAGGUAGUAGUGGGUGUAAUGUACCUACUAGCCGACAACGGGUACGGGUUGUGAGAGCAAGAGCCCGGAGAUGGAUUCUGAGACAUGAAUCCAGGCCCUACGGGGCGCAGCAGGCGCGAAAACUUUACAAUGCGGGAAACCGUGAUAAGGGGACACCGAGUGCCAGCAUCAUAUGCUGGCUGUCCGGGUGUGUAAAAUACACCUGUUAGCAAGGGCCGGGCAAGACCGGUGCCAGCCGCCGCGGUAACACCGGCGGCCCGAGUGGUGAUCGUGAUUAUUGGGUCUAAAGGGUCCGUAGCCGGUUUGGUCAGUCCUCCGGGAAAUCUGAUAGCUCAACUAUUAGGCUAUCGGGGGAUACUACCAGACUUGGAACCGGGAGAGGUAAGAGGUACUACAGGGGUAGGAGUGAAAUCUUGUAAUCCCUGUGGGACCACCUGUGGCGAAGGCGUCUUACCAGAACGGGUUCGACGGUGAGGGACGAAAGCUGGGGGCACGAACCGGAUUAGAUACCCGGGUAGUCCCAGCCGUAAACGAUGCUCGCUAGGUGUCAGGCAUGGCGCGACCGUGUCUGGUGCCGCAGGGAAGCCGUGAAGCGAGCCACCUGGGAAGUACGGCCGCAAGGCUGAAACUUAAAGGAAUUGGCGGGGGAGCAC
rnacentral:rRNA from 1 species